GACGAACGCUGGCGGCGUGCCUAAUACAUGCAAGUCGAGCGCAGGAAACUGACGGAACUCUUCGGAGGGAAGACAGUGGAAUGAGCGGCGGACGGGUGAGUAACACGUAAGGAACCUGCCUCAAGGAUUGGGAUAACUCCGAGAAAUCGGAGCUAAUACCGGAUAGUUCAACGGACCGCAUGGUCCGCUGAUGAAAGGCGCUCCGGCGUCACCUUGAGAUGGCCUUGCGGUGCAUUAGCUAGUUGGUGGGGUAAUGGCCCACCAAGGCGACGAUGCAUAGCCGACCUGAGAGGGUGAUCGGCCACACUGGGACUGAGACACGGCCCAGACUCCUACGGGAGGCAGCAGUAGGGAAUCUUCCCCAAUGGACGAAAGUCUGAUGGAGCAACGCCGCGUGAGUGAUGAAGGUUUUCGGAUCGUAAAACUCUGUUGUAAGGGAAGAACACGUACGAGAGGGAAUGCUCGUACCUUGACGGUACCUUACGAGAAAGCCACGGCUAACUACGUGCCAGCCGCCGCGGUAAUAC
rnacentral:rRNA from 1 species